rnacentral:rRNA from 1 species
GAUGAACGCUAGCGGGAGGCCUAACACAUGCAAGCCGAGCGGUAGAGUUUCUUCGGAAACUUGAGAGCGGCGCACGGGUGCGUAACACGUGUGCAACCUACCUUUAUCUGGGGGAUAGCCUUUCGAAAGGAAGAUUAAUACCCCAUAAUAUAAUGAUUGGCAUCAAUUAUUAUUGAAAACUCCGGUGGAUAGAGAUGGGCACGCGCAAGAUUAGAUAGUUGGUGAGGUAACGGCUCACCAAGUCAAUGAUCUUUAGGGGUCCUGAGAGGGAGAUCCCCCACCCUGGUACUGAGACACGGACCAGACUCCUACGGGAGGCAGCAGUGAGGAAUAUUGGACAAUGGGUGAGAGCCUGAUCCAGCCAUCCCGCGUGAAGGAUGACGGUCCUAUGGAUUGUAAACUUCUUUUGUACAGGGAUAAACCUACUCUCGUGAGGGUAGCUGAAGGUACUGUACGAAUAAGCACCGGCUAACUCCGUG